GAUGAACGCUGGCGGCGUGCCUAAUACAUGCAAGUCGAGCGAACGGACGAGAAGCUUGCUUCCCUGAUGUUAGCGGCGGACGGGUGAGUAACACGUGGAUAACCUACUUAUAAGACUGGGAUAACUUCGGGAAACCGGAGCUAAUACCGGAUAAUAUUUUGAACCGCAUGGUUCAAAAGUGAAAGACGGUCUUGCUGUCACUUAUAGAUGGAUCCGCGCUGCAUUAGCUAGUUGGUAAGGUAACGGCUUACCAAGGCAACGAUGCAUAGCCGACCUGAGAGGGUGAUCAGCCACACUGGAACUGAGACACGGUCCAGACUCCUACGGGAGGCAGCAGUAGGGAAUCUUCCGCAAUGGGCGAAAGCCUGACGGAGCAACACCGCGUGAGUGAUGAAGGUCUUCGGAUCGUAAAACUCUGUUAUUAGGGAAGAACAUAUGUGUAAUUAACUGUGCACAUCUUGACGGUACCUAAUCAGAAAGCCACGGCUAACUACGUG
rnacentral:rRNA from 1 species